GGAAGAUCUAAUGGGCUAUAUAUCACAAGCUGCUAUUCGACUUCCCAUGUUUGCAUCCUGCUGUUGGCCUCUGAAAAUAUGCUCCCAGGUUAGACCAUGUGGAAACUGCCGGCCCUGAUCCCUCAACUAGCUGGCAGUUGAUUCUUACCAUAACCUUGAUCAACUCGGUGAGGAGAGCGUGUAAUUGUCAAUACAGAUUUUGUUUCUAU
rnacentral:rRNA from 1 species